UUCAAGAUUAAAAUAGUGUCCAAGUUAGAACUAAAAUUGAAUUAGGAUUAAGCUGCGUCAUGUUACGCACAACCGUAUUGCAUGUACGUAUAUGUUUAGAGAUUCAUCGAUACGAUGCGCGUGAAUAUAACUUUAAAGCGUGUACAUAUUUUAACUACGUCAGGAUGAAGAAAGCACGUUCUCGCACCGGCUUGUAAGAUAGAGCGAGAGAAACAAACAUGCGCGCGCAGGUGGCGCGAUGUAGUGCGUCAGUCACUGGUCGUCGGUGCAGUCUCGCCCGGGAGUGCGAGAGAGAAGUUUGCUGUUUUAGCUGAGCAAUUGAAUAUGGUAGAGGAAGACAACAGAUAUUAAAGAGUGAGAGAAACUGGUUGAAUUGCCUCGAAAGAGAGACAAGCAAGAGAGAGAAAGACGGUUAUAUCGUGUAAGACUCACUGUGGAUCUGCACACGGAGCGAGCCGGUCAGUCGCACUACUUACGGAGUGUACUUUUGAUCGCAUACAAUUUCAAGUAAGAAAAGAACAAACCAAGACAAGACCGAGAGAAAAUAUUAAUGCAAACGAAAGGGAAGCAGCGAACUACUCGAUUCACCGAUGUGAAGUACAAGCUGAACCACAUGGUGGCUUUUAAAGCUGUAUAAGUGAUUAUCUCGUUCUAUAACAGCGCACAUUGUUGUUAUUGUUAUUGUUGAUCGAUAACCACCACGAAAGGAAUAGGAGAUAGAAAUAGGGAAGGAAAAAGGAAGAGAGACAGAAAAAAACUCGUGGCAGAAAGCGUCGAGAGGUUGGCAACGGUGGUGGUGUCACUACGCUGGGUGGUGGUGGUGUACUGUGACACAGUAGUGGAACGAAGGCACGAAGGACGGCUGUGAGUAGGAAGAGGGUUGUUAUGGGGCGAGAUUCUCGUGAUGUGUUGCUGCUCAUCGCAUUAUCGGCGGUGGCUGCGCUGGCAGGAACGGAUGCCUUUUCGACAGAAAUUUUUCAGUUAUACUUUGUCUAGUUUCGCGCCAUCAUCCACAACUUCCCCCUUCCGAGUGCGUCGAUAAGAGACAGGUCCUUACAGAUGGUGGUGAAUGCAGGUUUUAAGGUCAACACGUCCAACAGUUUCUUAUGUGUUCUUUUAGGAGAUUUAUUUAUUCUAAGUUGUCGAUACUGAUACACAUCGUGGAGAGAUAAUUCGUUUAUUUACGUCCAUCGUGCCUCUAAAUUAACCUCCAGCGUCAUUGGUUUUUGACGUCGCACAGUGCUUGUGAGAAGCACGUAAAAAAAAUUAAUAAUCGCGCAUAUCACGUCACAUAUCUUACUUUGAAUUCUUUGUCUCCAAAUGUUAAUUCGUUUAUGAAAUCUGGGAAACACCCCGGUAAAGUCACAGGGAGGAUUUCAUGGCGGCUGUUUUAAUCCUGUAUCUUCGAAAUUUUAUUCUAGGUUAUAUGAUGCGAAUAUCGCUACGCGAACAAAACAUAUUUGUAAAACAUAUUUUUUAAAUUCUGCUUUUGCAUUUAUUUUAAUCAGUUGAUUGUAUUGCAUUGUAUUUGUAUCUCGAGUUGAAACAUAUGUUAUUAAACUAAUUCUCGUUUAUAUACAUAUGUAUAGAAGAUGGUUUAAUAGUCUUAGGGUCGAUUGUUUCAAGUUCUUGGUAACAGUUCUUGGUGACAGUUAAAUUAUGUCUGCCUUCGAUUUUUCUUCAAAUAAGAUAAAGACAAACAUAUGAUUUAACUAUUAGGCAACUUAUCAAGAGAUUGGAACAAUGGGCCCUUGAUAGAUAGAAACUAUAAUUGUCAACUUCCUGCAUGUACGUAUGCGCACAGUUGAAAACCAUAAGAACCCUAAUAAUUAUAACUAUUCCAUUUUCAAUCUUGUGUGUGUAUGUGUAUAUAUAUAUAUAUAUAUAUAUAUAUAUAUAUAUAUAUAUAUAUAUAUAUAUAUAUAUAUAUAUAUGUAUAUGCACAAGAUUGAAUAUCGUAAUUGUUUUAAAACUUGUUUUAACCCUAGGUAUACACACUUAUUUUUCGCGUAGAUGCUACACUGGGUUCUCAAGGACUUCAGCUACUUUUUUUUUAUUAUAACUCUAGUAAAAAUCACCGUAUUUUGAGUUUUUUUCCCGAUUGUUAAUAGACUGAUAAACACAUAUAUUUAUUAAGAAUUAAGAUUUAUUAGGAAUUAGGAUAAAUUAUAAUAAGCAUCACAUAAUAAAGACGUGUUGAAACAUUAGAAAUACUCAUAAAUACAAAGGAAACGUUUUACCGUAAUAUAUUGAAAUGAAUUUUAAUAGCUUGAAAAAUGUAAAUCUUUUUUGGUAAUAGAGAUAAUCGAAAAAAGUUUUCAGAUUUUGAAAGGGCAUAUUUCAAGAUAUAAAGAAAAAAAUCUUCGCUUAAAUUGGAAUCAUGAAAAUCACAAAGCUCCAAGAUUGACGAUUUUUCAUAUUUCUAUUUUCUGGCAGUUUUGCAGACAGGUAUAAGAGUUAGGAUUUUUAUUAAAAAAUACAAACUCAAUAACUUGUAAUGCAUGUAAUAGAAACAGAAGAAGAAAAACGUAAAUAAUUUAAAAGCGGCAAAUAACAUUCACCCAACAAAGCAGUAUCAUUUAGUCUGUGUUUCUGUCUUCCAAUAAUAAAAUUUUAGUUCUUUUUUUACAUUAUUUAUUUAAUCUAAUAUUUUUUAGAAUAUAUAUUUACCCUAUGAACUCGAAUAAAAUUAAUUACAAAAUAUACUUGCAAAAAAAGUUGCACGAAGUACACACUGGGGUCUGGGAGACUCUGAGCUUACUUUACGUGUGAAUUACCACAAAAUCGACAGACAAUUGACUGCUCCGACAGUUGCUAUCUACAGAAGAGACUUCAAAUUUUUUUUUACACGGCGGUCGUAUCCUCCUUACUUAUUCUCUCUACUAAUACUAGAGUUUCAAACUUUGCCUGGGGUAUCACAGACCCCAGUGUGUAUACCUAGGGUUAAACUUAUUAUGAUUUUCAAUCGCAUGCACAUUUCAACCUAAAGCGCAUAGAAGUCAUAUAUGCUUUAAUGUUAUAAUCUAUAUACGAUUUUCAGUUCUAUAUGCAAUGUACUAAAAAUCGUAGGAAAUUUUAGAUUUCCUACGAUUAUAAUUUUUUAAAUUAUUACUAAAUGUUAAGGAAUUAAAACUGGCCUAUAUACUGAAGCUGAUUUAAUAGUCUUAAUGCGCAGUGGCUGUGAUUCCCAAUUGUUUACAUAUGUAUAUGUGCGAUUAAAAAUCUCCAUAACUAAUGUAACUGUUAAAACUACGUCAACCUGUUACAUUCAUGUAUUAUAUAUAUUAUAUGUUACAUAUUCGCAUGUGCAAAACGUGUCAAGAUUCUCGUGUGUUUUUGUUUUGAUUCGCGACUGUCACAUAUCUUUCACAACGCCGCAAUAGAACGUGGAAAGCGUAGUGACAAAAACAAUCUUCGAAAUUUGGCUGAUGUUACGUAAAAUAUGUUAUAUAAGACAAGCGUACAAUGCCAAGCGCCUUCGUUUUAUCAAUCGUGCUGAUUCGCUUCUUUUCCCUGUCUUUGUAUAGUUAGUAUCAUGUAUGCCAUGCUAUUCUCUACACUGACAAUUCACACUGAGAGUUUUCAGUCUUAUAAACAUAUACAUAAAAUAAAAAAUUAUGUAACUCUACAAUGGCAGUGUUAUAAUGACUUUAGUUAUAAUAGUUUCGACUUUAUACAUAUAUGUAUAAAACUGAAAAUCAUGUAGCUUUUGAAUGACAGCAUAUAUGACGGGGAAUGUAUACGUUUCUUGUUGAGGUAAGUACAUAGACUGAUAUAACACUCUUAACAUCUACUAUCACGAUAGUAACUAGAAUUUUCUAACCACAUGUAAUAUGACUACAUUCAUACUUCACGACUAUUCAAUCGGCAAAAAUAUAUCAAAUACUAUUUCUUUAUACAUUUUUAUGUUUUGUUAUUUUGUCUGAAUAACAGAUAACAUAUUAUUACACGGAAAAAACAAUAUGGUUGAUCCAUACAGAAAUCUGGUUGUGCCAACCAGAUUCAAUAGUAAAAUACGGAACAACUAUUUAUGUGGUUACUGUAACCAAAGAGCAAUGGCUGAGUUAUUUAUA